GCGAUGAGCUCGUUUGCGUAAGACGGACAAGCACUCCUUUUAGGAACACGUUGUGGAACGUGGCUUGGAACGCCGCAAACUAUCGAAACCCAUCUUGCCUUCGGGCAAGAUGG
rnacentral:sRNA from 1 species